rnacentral:rRNA from 1 species
AGUCCACAUCGACGGGGAGGUUUGGCACCUCGAUGUCGGCUCAUCACAUCCUGGGGCUGUAGUAGGUCCCAAGGGUUGGGCUGUUCGCCCAUUAAAGUGGUACGCGAGCUGGGUUCAGAACGUCGUGAGACAGUUCGGUCCCUAUCCGUCGCAGGCGUAGGCAAUUUGAGAAGACCUGUCCUUAGUACGAGAGGACCGGGAUGGACGUACCUCUGGUGUACCAGUUGUCCUGCCAAGGGCAUGGCUGGGUAGCUAUGUACGGAAUGGAUAAGCGCUGAAAGCAUCUAAGCGCGAAG